AUAUUUCGAAGAGGAAAAGCGAGAUGCUUGCACGCGUAGAAUCAGGGGCUAAUAAAGUCUUCCGUCCACUCUUGCCCGUAAGGUAUACCAGUAAAAGACAGCCCUGCUGCUCAUUAUAUAAUUUGCACCAUAAUUACACAAGAUAAAUCUCAUUCACUUUAUACGCGCUUUUUGUCUUCCAGUUCAUGUCUUCGCUGCAUAUAUACCUUAUAAAAACUAACACUUCCCUCGGCAAUUUCACGUGCAUAAAAGCUGUGACGACGCAGAAGGAUGAAUGCAACCAAACGCUGUCGCAGAAUUAUUCAUUUUUAAAUUUCGUGACGAAGAAUUGGUCUAUGUAUUCGGCCAGCUACGAUCCAUUAGGAGAAGUUCGACCAGCUAAUUCGUUCACUUCGGUUGACAAGAUUUUGAAUACCUCAACUAACUAUACGUUAUACAAUAUUACAAUACCAUAUUGUGCUGUUGCGCAGAAGUCCAAACAGUACGGGAAGGAAUUUAUUCUGAAAAGCUGCGAACUUUGGGUCAACGACGGAUAUUUCCAGGACAACGAGUCUGUUUCUUCUGUGGCCUGUGGUAGCCUAUUUACAAAAUACUGUCCUGGCUCAGGUCAAGAUGUGUACAACGUGACUCAAUGCGGGCUCUUUAAUCAAACUGGCACAACAAUUUAAGCUGCUGCUUCAUUAGGGGUCCAAUAAAGAAAGAAAAAACAGCGAAAUAAGAGUGCUUGUGCAACUUUUGCUUA